GGGUGCGUUUGUUACUUCAAACCAAUCGGACUUCGGUCUGACAUCAAGUGAUAUUGAACAAUUUAGCUGAUCGCACGGUCUAAGAACCGGCGACAUAUCCUUCAAAUGUCUGCCUUAUCAACUUUCGAUGGUAGAUUAUGCGCCUACCAUGGUUGUAACGGGUAACGGAGAAUCGGGGUUUGAUUCCGGAGAGGGAGCCUGAGAAACGGCUACCACAUCCAAGGAAGGCAGCAGGCACGCAAAUUACCCACUCCCGGCACGGGGAGGUAGUGACGAAAAAUAACAAGCUGGUCUCAAUGAGUUCCAGCAUUGUAAUGGGAACAAUUUAAAUCUUUUAUCGAGGAUCUAUUGGAGGGCAAGUCUGGUGCCAGCAGCCGCGGUAAUUCCAGCUCCAAUAGCGUAUAUUAAAGUUGUUGCGGUUAAAAAGCUCGUAGUUGGAUCUAGGAUUAGGGCUACGGUCGUUCAGCUUGGACGUACUGUAUGCCCGACUCCUUUUCUCUAGUAKUCGAUUGUUGCUCUUAAAUGAGUGACUUUAGUUGCUGGAACUUUUACCUUGAAAAAAUUGAAGUGCUCAAA
rnacentral:rRNA from 1 species